ensembl:lncRNA
GUAACACUGUCGUUUUUAUCAAAUGAAACAUGAGGGGUGACACUGUCGUUUUUUUAUUGGUCGUCAUGAAAAAAACAUAAGGGGUAACAAUGUUGUUUUUUAUUGGUCGUCAUGAAAAAAACAUAAGGGGGGUAACACUGUUGUUUUUUAUUGGUCGUCAUGAAAAAAAAACAUAAGGGGUAACACUGUUGUCUAUGUCAAAUAAAAUAUAAGGGGUAACACUGUCGUAUUUUAUUGGUCGUCAUGAAAAAAAACAUAAGGGGUAACACUGUUGUUUUUUAUUGGUCGUCAUGAAAAAAAACAUAAGGGGUAACACUGUUGUUUUUUAUUGGUCGUCAUGAAAAAAAACAUAAGGGGUAACACUGUUGUUUUUUAUUGGUCGUCAUGAAAAAAACAUAAGGGGGGUAACACUGUUAUUUUUUAUUGGUCGUCAUGAAAAAAAACAUAAGGGGUAACACUGUUGUUUUUUAUUGGUCGUCAUGGAUAAAAA